GGGGAUUCUGUCCGCGGUGACAGCCUUAACAUUUGCCAGAGCCCUGGACGCCGCUGUAGAAAUGGCAUUGCCCACCCUGAAAGUGAGAAGAUGGUGUAAGGAGGCAAAAUGAUGAGCUUUGAAGACAUUUCAUCAAGGAGAGAAAUAGCUAAAUUGAAAUGAGCUCUUAAAAUCAGCCCAGGAUUCUCUAGCUCGGUUAAAAAAAAAAAGGGAUUUGUAAAGAUGAAACAAAGAAUCAUUCUCAAUUUCUCUACAUAUUGUAGAGAAAUUGCCCACCCCUUGCCCAUCCCCAAUGUGCAUGUGUGUGUGUGUAUUUCUAUAAGGCAAAAAUACAUUUAUUUUCUUUUUCAUCGGAGUUGUCAGAAGUUGGAGAAAAGAUUAGUACAAGUGUAAAAAUGGAUAUGUGAUAAAUGUCCAAACUCCUUUAAAUAAGGUGGCGUGGCUGUGAUAAAACAAAACUGAAAAUA